rnacentral:misc_RNA from 1 species
AACGGUCUAUACCUGCGGUACCUGCGGAAGGAUCAUUACCGAGUUUACAAAACUCCCAAACCCUUUGUGAACCUUACCUAUCGUUGCUUCGGCGGGAACGCCCCGGCGCCCUCGCGGCCCGGAACCAGGCGCCCGCCGGAGGCCCCAAACCCUCAUGUCUUUAGUGGUUUCCUCCUCUGAGUGACAUAAACAAAUAAAGUAAAAACUUUUAACAAUGGAUCUCUAGAUCGGAAGAGCACA